rnacentral:misc_RNA from 1 species
CCUAACGAUACGCAUUGCGUAGUGUCCACACAGAUUGUCUGAUAGAAAGUAACGAGCAAAUAAGGCCGGACUGAGAAAUUAGUCGGGCUUUAGUACCUUGUUGGGUCUGUAGCUCAGGUGGUUAGAGCGCACCCCUGAUAAGGGUGAGGUCGGUGGUUCAAGUCCACUCAGACCCACCAACUCACCAUUCCCUGUUGAGUUGCAGCAAUAAGGUGAUUUGCUUUUUAUAUGGGGCUAUAGCUCAGCUGGGAGAGCGCCUGCCUUGCACGCAGGAGGUCAGCGGUUCGAUCCCGCUUAGCUCCACCAUAUAAAAAAAUUAUUUCAAAAUGUACUGCGGUCGCAAGACACAGUGUGUUGUGAAAUAUUGCUCUUUAACAAUCUGGAACAAGCUGAAAAUUGAAACAAUACAGCUGAAACUUAUCUCUCCGUAGAAGUACUGAGAUAAGGAUUAACCUGUAUUAGAGUCUCUCAAAUAAUCACAGCACAAGUUGUCUGUAAAGACACCUUCGGGUUGUGAG